rnacentral:lncRNA from 1 species
CUUCUGCUCUUAUCCCAGCGUUGCCUUUAUUUCUUCUUGCUUUUUAUUUUUUCCUACAGAAAAAUGGUUCAUGAGAUUGGUGCUUUUUAAGCUCCCUGGGCAGCAGCCUGAAGAAAAUCACUUUUCCAUCCUUUUUCUGGCAGGGCCUUGGCCAUCUCCAUGUUCCUCUCUGAUGCACCGCAGGUGGCUGUAGUGUCCUGGUGUCACCUGCAGUGGUCUGCUCUCGACAGAACUUUUUAGUUCAGUACAUUCAAAUUCUCAGUAGCUGUUAUCUCUGUAGCCUGGGCAUCACUUGAUAGUGAUGGCAUUUAGGGACCUGGACACUGCACGGAUAGCACUGAAGGCAAAAUGGAGGUGAUGAUUCCCCCUUGGGCAUAGGGAUCUUCUCACUCUGCUGAAAGAACCUUAAUGUCUUAGUUCAGGCGUGGGUUUAACUCUCCACUCUCCAUCUUUAGGCAAAGCUAGAUACAGAAGCAGAGUGUAUCAAAAGAAAACAGAAAGCAUUCAGGCUUUUGCUGGGAAUGUCCUCAAUAAGUGUUUCUCACUUGGGUUUUGCAUUUGGAAACUCUUAAUUAUAAUCGAGUUGGGUUUUUUUUUAAACAAAAAAAAUUUUGAAACUAUAGGAGCCAAGGCAGAUAUUUCUGAAGCUUGUUAGAACUCAAGUCCAUACUACUGGUUUUGAACUGAAGGUCUGUAGAUGGAGGCCUGGAUCUUCAUGUCACUGUAACAUACAGAGUUGUCCCCAAAGAAGUGGAGUUGCUGGGAAAAGGAUGAACAGGUAACCUCUGAAAAGCUGAAAUCAAAGGAGACUCUCCGCAAAUACAGUGUCUGCAUUUGGGAUCCUCAGCUGAGGACCUUCCCUGUCUAUGGGCUCAUAGGGUGCAUUUUCAGAGCUGUUUCACUGGAGUUAUUUAUUGAGCUCGGUAGGUUCACUUGCUUCAGGGCAUUUGGGAGCAUCUCUCCUUCCCUAGGCUUGCACACAGAGCUUUGGGGAUGUUGUCUGAGCAAACCACCCCAGCCUUGAGGAUCCUGAG